CCUACGGGAGGCAGCAGUGGGGAAUAUUGCACAAUGGGGGAAACCCUGAUGCAGCAACGCCGCGUGAAGGAAGAAGGUUUUCGGAUCGUAAACUUCUAUCAACAGGGACGAAGAAAGUGACGGUACCUGAAUAAGAAGCCCCGGCUAACUACGUGCCAGCAGCCGCGGUAAUACGUAGGGGGCAAGCGUUAUCCGGAAUUACUGGGUGUAAAGGGAGCGUAGGCGGCACGCCAAGCCAGAUGUGAAAGCCCGAGGCUUAACCUCGCGGAUUGCAUUUGGAACUGGCGAGCUAGAGUACAGGAGAGGAAAGCGGAAUUCCUAGUGUAGCGGUGAAAUGCGUAGAUAUUAGGAAGAACACCAGUGGCGAAGGCGGCUUUCUGGACUGAAACUGACGCUGAGGCUCGAAAGCGUGGGGAGCAAACAG
rnacentral:rRNA from 1 species